CCUACGGGCGGCAGCAGUGAGGAAUAUUGGUCAAUGGUCGGGAGACUGAACCAGCCAAGCCGCGUGAGGGAGGAAGGUACAGAGUAUCGUAAACCUCUUUUGUCAGGGAACAAAGACUGGGACGCGUCCCCGGAUGAGUGUACCCGAAGAAAAAGCAUCGGCUAACUCCGUGCCAGCAGCCGCGGUAAUACGGAGGAUGCGAGCGUUAUCCGGAUUUAUUGGGUUUAAAGGGUGCGCAGGCGGAGGUGCAAGUCAGCGGUCAAAUCGCGGGGCUCAACCCCGUACUGCCGUUGAAACUGCAUCCCUUGAGUGCGAGAGAAGUAUGCGGAAUGCGCGGUGUAGCGGUGAAAUGCAUAGAUAUCGCGCAGAACUCCGAUUGCGAAGGCAGCAUGCCGGCGCGAAACUGACGCUGAUGCACGAAAGCGUGGGUAUCGAACAGGAUUAGAUACCCGUGUAGUC
rnacentral:rRNA from 1 species